AUGUUAUGGAUAUGCAGUUCGUUUGACACGCCUCGGCCACCGUACUUAUAUGCUGCCCGUGAAAAGGUUUUGCAACUUUGAACUCAAAUCAAUCUACUUUUUUAUAAGGAAACAGCGAGUCAACCAUUACACUCUAUUCGGGUUUACAUUUUGUUUUUUGAGAAAAAGAAAUAAUCGAGAUUAUGGACGUGAUAAAGAAGAAACUCAACUCUCUGCAGCAGCAACUUGAUGAUGCGGAAAACCGAGGACGGGCUCUCCAAACGGAGCUGGGCAUUGAACGGGAACGGCGCCUACAAGCCGAGGGUACAGCGGCAUCCUUGAACACCAAGAUCCAGCUGCUGGAGGAGAGACUGGCCAUAGCCCUGCAGAAAGUGGAGGCGGCUGAGAGGGCUGCACUUUAGAGUGAAAGCUACAAGAACAAGCAAGAUGGAAAGACCAGUUCACAUCCCAGUGUGGAUUGAUACUUGGAUAAACGACCCCCAGUCCACCACUGGUCAUGUGCUUUAGUUAAGACUUUAAUUGCACUGCCUUUAAGCCAAAAAUAUACCACUAACAUCAUUCCAUCAUCCUUCAUAACACUAACAUCUUGUUUAGUACCAUUCUGCUUGUUUCACUCUCAGAACGCUAAAGCUACUAUCAAAAAUGCAAAAUUAGGAAUCACGCAAACUCUCAUACAAACCACACAAUAGAUAACUC